GAUCAUUUUUCAAAAUGUUUUAAAGGAAUUAUUUCAAGAACAAUAGGUAUAAAACUAUGAUUA
rnacentral:tRNA from 1 species